rnacentral:sRNA from 1 species
UCAAACGCAUCAGCCUUUACCCAAUGCUCUCAUUAAUAGAUUUGGAAAUAAAUGGAAUAAAACUAGAAAUUUGUCGGGUGCACUGACGGUUCCCAUAGGACUCAUUCUCCAUCCCCACAAAUUUGCAACAACCUUCUUACCUACUUUCUGUUUGAUCCUGACCUGGAAGCAACCCAGGAAGUCCUGCGUAAUAGCAGCUGUGGUAUUAUCCAACUAGCCUGCCUCAUCACCUGUAGGCAUGACUAAAGAUGCUCCCCAGGUCCUGCUUGGCUUGCCUGGACUCUCAGCAGAGUCCAGAAACAUUCAGAUGUCCGUCAAAUGACUAGCAGUCAGACUGACCCAGUGAGCGAGCUAUAUGAUAGCUGGGUACUCUCUCAAAAUAGAAAAGUAAAUGAAGUCAUAUUCUUGCUAGAAAACCAAUACUAUGGGCAAGCCAAGAACACGGAUAAUAUGCGGUUUCUAGCUCAAGAACACGGCUGACUAAUAGCUGAGAUUGAAUGCCAACUUAGUCCAAACCAUGGCUCCAAGACUACACCAGGCAAACACAGCACAAGCACUCCUAGGGAAACAAUAUGAGCUUUGUAGGAACACCAGACAUAGGUAGGGCCCGGACAUAAGGGCUGGGUACGUGUGGAAUUAACCUUUUCUAAGACCUUAAACAUGCUAAGAUGCUGUAGAGAACUUUUUCCAAAGUGGCUUAAACCAUCAGUCCCAUCAGUCGGGAGUGAGAGCAUUCUUUUAGGCACUUCAUCCAUCAAAGGGGGAGGGGAUUCUUCCCGUGGCGUGAAGCCAGCUGGGGGUUGGGGGAUGAGGUGGGGACAAGAUGAGACGGUGGUUAUGUAAAUAAGUCAUCUGUGGACCAUCUGGCUGCAGGAUAGCUUCUUCCCAGCAGGGGUCGCUACAGGCUCAGGGAAGACGUGAAAACAGCGCCUCUCGCCAUGGCCUUAAGGAAAUGAAACUCCAAGAUUUGCAGAGGGAAUUCAAUCACUCUGGACCUCCGUGACAGGCACACAGAGCACAAACACAGAAUAAGCGGAAGCCAAGGCACAGUGUCUGUUCCUCUUGCGUGGCGUGGUGAGUGGAGAGAGGCAGAGGCUGCGUGAAAAACAUUUGGGACCAUACGCCCAGUAGACCUCCAACACAGAGGGAGGCUAGCCAUCCCCUCUGAACGCUGGAAUCUUCAUACACAGCUCUUUGGCGGCGCGACCUUCAGUGAUUGUCUCCGUAGCCAAAGUGAUAAAGAACACAGCCAUACUUCAGAGAGAGAAGCGGACCACGCACAUCACAGUGUGGACCAGGCCUGCGCUCAAGCAGGUCUAGGUAGGCUCCGUGACUCAUCUGUCACUUAUCAGCUAUGAAAUUGACCACGUGACCGAUGUUCUCCGAUCAGCAGCAACUCUGUCAGAGGGUCUGCCAAAGCCCACCUCCGAGGCUCAUGGAGGAGCUGCCCACUUCACGAGCUGUGCACAGAACCUCCCGGGCUGCUCUCAAUACCCACUGGUUUUGUUUGUCUGUGUCCUGGAGUGGGAGGCAGCAGGGAGGAAGCUGGGAGCUGCGUCACCCAGCAGUCUACCUGUAAAGUUUGCAUGCUACAUGUGUGCGUGCCUGUGGUGCCACCCAGAGCCAGAGGCCUGUCAACGGCUGCAGAUAGAUGGCAGGUGUGCACACUCUCUGUUCAUGCCAAGCUGCCUCCCCUUCAUAAAGACCUGGUUCUUGUUGGCUACUCUCCUGCUCCUCCCCCCCAUCUCCCUCCCCCCACCCCCAGCCAAGCUCAGUGAUCUAUUCUAAGCAGGCUGCUGUCCCUGGGCACACUCAGGCCUUCUGUUUGUCCAUAGCCAGCCUGUGAAACUCUCAUAAUGUAGCCUUGUUCUCCUUACCACACAGCAGCCCGCUGCUCAGAGCCUGCCUGGGGAGGAGGCCGUGCCAGCUGCACAGAGCUGGUUUCCAGGAAGACAUAAGCACUGUGUGUGGCCAGAGAUGGAGCCACCUCUCUGUUGGCAACCCCUUCAAAUUAGGGUCAAUUGGUUACAGGCAAAAGGCAUUUUCAACAAGCAGAGAAAGCAGGCUUCUCACUGAGCUCCAAUACACUAAAGGUUCAGGGCCUUUGCGAAGGACCGUCUGUCCCUUAUGGGACAACCUCAUCCUUCUUCAAGACUAAGCUGAAGUUGCCCUGUUUCCUGCUUAGUGGGCAUUCACAGCUGAAGGCCUCUCACUCUGUCAUCUUGCCCUGUUGGUUUUCCCUAUGUGUAUUUUCUGUUUUAUCUCUAGGCUCUCCUAUGUGUGCCCAACCUGAGCCCUGGGGCUGUUUGCAUCCAGGAGAGCCACCAUUGCAGUUUGACACAUUUGUAAACCACAAUAUCAAAUCACAGUAUCAAAGGUAGGACAUUUCUGCAAGAAGAAGGCCUCAAGAGAAGAAGAAGGACCUAUAGAGGUCCACUUCCCCAGGGUCUAGUAUAAUACCAGGCUCAGAGAAAGCCAUGGCCACAACUGGCCACCUGUCAGAAGUUAAUCUGACCAAGACUAACCACUCAGUGACCAAUUGCUUAACUGAUGAGAUCAGAGACAGGAACAGGAAUGAGAUCGAGUCCCCAUGCAGCAGGAAUCCUUGCCUAUAAUGGGUUUUUAACCAUACAAUCAGGUCAGAGGCAGGGCAGAUUUCUGGAGCUGAUGCCAAUCCUAGGCCUGACACAACACUGUACCACGAGUGAGGUCUGAGCAACCACGUCAGGGUGGUGUGCAGGACCUCAGAAUCCCUGUGCCUGCUACUCACUGGGCCUGGAACUCUGCCAGCCUGCAUGCAAGGAGGCUGCCUCAACGGAAGUGCCUCCUGGGGUGGACAGCCCCAUCUACAUUCUCCACUACUCUCCCUCUCCCCUCUGUCCAGCUCUUGCCCUGCCCAUCUCCAUGGAGACAGUAAUUCUACCUAUUCUCAUUACAAAGGGCUUGGGCUAGACCUGGCCUGUCCUGGCUUGCCCAUCCUCUGUCCUUGGUAUUCAGUAAUAGCAGCUCAGGGUACCCACCUAGUGACCAUUUCUUGUAGAGUAAACAAAGGACCUGCUACCUAUAGAGGUUCAUUCUUAGGCUGGUUCGGUCAGAACCUUAGGCACCAAGUACUUAGGCAAUAAAGAUAGAGUUUGUGGUUUUGUUAGUCUGUUUGGUGUUGGGGCUCAAACUCUGAUCUUAUGUGUGUCAGGAAAGGGCUCCUCUCUGGUACAGAGAUAGCACUGAAGCCUCAAGCCUGCCACUGGUGGUGGCAGGGGUGGGGGCAGGGGAAGGACAAAGCAACAAGUGAGUAUUGAGUGAAGGGCUGGGACAGAGGAGGGAGCACAGGAAUGUCUGAUCCCUGACCAGAGUGGCGGAGAAAGGCCAGGCAAGCAAGCCACACUGGAGCCCCAAGAGACCAACUGUGAUUUAGUAAGUAGGGCCACUAACAGGUAUUCUGUGUGACAGACUGUGAAGGGGCAGGGCAUGUGGAGCUGGCCUCAGGUGUACAGGGUCUGGAUUUGGUCCGAGUCAGUAACUAGUGUCAGCAAUAAAGAUCAGGGGCACAGGUUGCGCUCUCUCUCUCUCUCUCUCUCUCUCUCUCUCUCUCUCUCUCUCUCAGUUGUAGUUUUGGUUUUGGUUUUUUUUGAGACAUGGCUCUCUAUGUAACCUUGGCUGUCCUGGAACUAGGCUGACCUUGAACUCACAGAGAUCCUCCUGCCUCUGCCUUCUAAGUGUGGGAAUAAAGGUGUGUACCACUA